UACGGAGGGUGCGAGCGUUGUCCGGAAUCACUGGGCGUAAAGGGCGCGUAGGCGGCAGGCCAAGCGUGCGGUGAAAGUCCGGGGCUCAACCCCGGAUCUGCCGUGCGGACUGGUUUGCUGGAGCACUGUAGAGGCGAGUGGAAUUCCGGGUGUAGCGGUGGAAUGCGUAGAGAUCCGGAAGAACACCGGUGGCGAAGGCGGCUCGCUGGGCAGUGGCUGACGCUGAGGCGCGAAAGCGUGGGGAGCAAACAGG
rnacentral:rRNA from 1 species